rnacentral:lncRNA from 1 species
UGGUGGGGUGCAGGAGUGAUAUGACGAAAUGAAAAACGCGCAAUAGAAGUGGACUGUUUUUUUUUUUUGGUAUAAUGGGGUGAUCUGAGGAAAUGAUAUCGAGUAAUGGAAGUGCUUCUGGAGGGCCAAACAGGUCGUGAAGGCAGCAGUGGAUGAAAAACCUGCAGAAAUUGGAACGACGAGAUAAAUUAGCAGACCGCUGAAAGGAAGAAAAGGAGCACAGCCAAAAAUACAGAUUUCUUUUCAUUCUUCUUUUGUGCCGACAGAAGUAUAUCUAGAGGAAAAUAGAGCAAAACUAUCAAGUGAAAACGUCAGAGCUACGAUCUAGAAGCUUACACGGAUGAUGGAGCUUGGAAGCAGACUUGUCAGAGCACAACGUGUCGAGGAAGGCAGAUGCAAAGUUGCCGGAGAUGCAGGUUCGAGCUAGUGUUUUGCUAUUGCAAACGAGACGCAGAAGUCUUCAAAGAGCAGGUCAGCAAGGUAACCCCAGCUCUGAUCCUGUAUAAUUAAGUUGAGCUGAGUUGGAGUCUCUCAAAAACUAAACUGUAACACUCUUGAUAACUCAUUAUAAGAUAUAUUUUUUCCCAUCUUUUGUGCGGACAGUAGUAUUUCUAGAUGCAAAACUAACAAGUGAAAAUAUCGCCUAGAUACUUCUGCAAAGAAUCAAUAAAAGGCUUCCUUCUCCAAAAAGAAAAAAACAUGUGAAAACAUCAAAGGGAUGGUCUUGAAGCUUACACGGAUGAUCGACCUCAGAAGCAGAGUUGGAUGAUCGACCUUUGAAGCAGAGUUAUUGGAGUGGCGCAGCGAGGAAGGCGGAUGCAAGGUUGCCGGGGAUGCUAUUGCAAAUGAAUGAGGGCGGGUGCAAGGUUCGCAGAGAUGCUAUUGCAAAUGUGCCGCAGAAGUCUCCAAAAGCAGCAGGUCAGGA